rnacentral:tRNA from 1 species
GGAAAUGUGGCUUAGUGGUAGAGUGCUUGCCUAGCAUGCAUAAAACCCUGGGUUCAAUUCCUCAGUACCA